rnacentral:rRNA from 1 species
UAUGUGAUCGUCUCUCGCAUAUCAAUAAGCGGAGGAAAAGAAACUAACAAGGAUUCCCCUAGUAACGGCGAGUGAAGCGGGAAGAGCUCAAAUUUGAAAUCUUAAAGGGUUUCCCUUUACGAAUUGUAGUUUAAAGAAGUGUUUUCUGUUGAGGCUUUGGUAAAAGUUCUUUGGAAUGGGACAUCAUAGAGGGUGAGAAUCCCGUAUUUGACCUUUACUUUCAACUUUGUGAUACACUUUCAAAGAGUCGGAUUGUUUGGGAAUGCAGUCCAAAAUGGGUGGUAAAUUUCAUCUAAAGCUAAAUAUUGGCGAGAGACCGAUAGCGAACAUAGUACCGUGAGGGAAAGAUGAAAAGAACUUUGAAAAGAGAGUUAAACAGUACGUGAAAUUGUCAAAAGGGAAGCGUUUGACACCAGUGUUGUUUUUCUGAAAAUCAAUUAAAGGACUGUUUAUGCUAAGCUGUUUAGACUUUAUCAGCUAAUCUGUUUAGUUUUGAGCUUUUCUUUAAUGCACUUUUCAGUUAACAAGUCAACAUCAAUUUCUUUUGCUGUAAAAAAGCUUGAGGAAGGUGGCUUGAGAUUCGUCUUAAGUGUUUAUAGCCUCUUGCCUAUGCAGUCGGAGAGAUUGAGGUCUGCAGCGUAGAUCCUUCGGGGCUAAAUGCAUUUGUGCUAAGUUAUAGCAUUUUAUAGACAACUUGUUGACUAUGAUUUGUCUUGUAGCUUACUCGCUUAUGUUAUUUUACCUACGCUUAGGAUGUUGAUCUACAGAGCGAGAGU